rnacentral:rRNA from 1 species
GAUGAACGCUGGCGGCGUGCUUAACACAUGCAAGUCGAACGAAGCACUUUAUUUGAUUUCCUUCGGGACUGAUUAUUUUGUGACUGAGUGGCGGACGGGUGAGUAACGCGUUGGUAACCUGCCUUGUACAGGGGGAUCACAGUUGGAAACGGCUGCUAAUACCGCAUAAGCGCCAGGCAUCGCAUGAAGCAGGGUGGAAAAGUCCGGUGGUAUAAGAUGGACCCGCGUUGGAUUAGCUAGUUGGUGAGGUAACGGCCCACCAAGGCGACGAUCCAUAGCCGACCUGAGAGGGUGAGCGGCCACAUUGGGACUGAGACACGGCCCAAACUCCUACGGGAGGCAGCAGUGGGGAAUAUUGCACAAUGGGCGAAAGCCUGAUGCAGCUACGCCGCGUGAGCGAAGAAGUAUUUCGGUAUGUAAAGCUCUAUAAGCAGGGAAGAUAAUGACGGUACCUGACUAAGAAGCACCGGCUAAAUACGUG